rnacentral:rRNA from 1 species
CAGGCUUAACACAUGCAAGUCGAGGGGCAUCAGGAAGAAAGCUUGCUUUCUUUGCUGGCGACCGGCGCACGGGUGAGUAACACGUAUCCAACCUGCCCUUUACUCGGGGAUAGCCUUUCGAAAGAAAGAUUAAUACCCGAUGGCAUAAUGAUUCCGCAUGGUUUCAUUAUUAAAAGAUUCCGGUAAAGGAUGGGGAUGCGUUCCAUUAGGUUGUUGGUGAGGUAACGGCUCACCAAGCCUUCGAUGGAUAGGGGUUCUGAGAGGAAGGUCCCCCACAUUGGAACUGAGACACGGUCCAAACUCCUACGGGAGGCAGCAGUGAGGAAUAUUGGUCAAUGGGCGCUAGCCUGAACCAGCCAAGUAGCGUGAAGGAUGAAGGCUCUAUGGGUCGUAAACUUCUUUUAUAUAAGAAUAAAGUGCAGUAUGUAUACUGUUUUGUAUGUAUUAUAUGAAUAAGGAUCGGCUAACUCCGUGCCAGCAGCCGCGGUAAUACGGAGGAUCCGAGCGUUAUCCGGAUUUAUUGGGUUUAAAGGGAGCGUAGGUGGACUGGUAAGUCAGUUGUGAAAGUUUGCGGCUCAACCGUAAAAUUGCAGUUGAUACUGUCAGUCUUGAGUACAGUAGAGGUGGGCGGAAUUCGUGGUGUAGCGGUGAAAUGCUUAGAUAUCACGAAGAACUCCGAUUGCGAAGGCAGCUCACUGGACUGCAACUGACACUGAUGCUCGAAAGUGUGGGUAUCAAACAGGAUUAGAUACCCUGGUAGUCCACACAGUAAACGAUGAAUACUCGCUGUUUGCGAUAUACAGUAAGCGGCCAAGCGAAAGCAUUAAGUAUUCCACCUGGGGAGUACGCCGGCAACGGUGAAACUCAAAGGAAUUGACGGGGGCCCGCACAAGCGGAGGAACAUGUGGUUUAAUUCGAUGAUACGCGAGGAACCUUACCCGGGCUUAAAUUGCAGUGGAAUGAUGUGGAAACAUGUCAGUGAGCAAUCACCGCUGUGAAGGUGCUGCAUGGUUGUCGUCAGCUCGUGCCGUGAGGUGUCGGCUUAAGUGCCAUAACGAGCGCAACCCUUAUCUUUAGUUACUAACAGGUCAUGCUGAGGACUCUAGAGAGACUGCCGUCGUAAGAUGUGAGGAAGGUGGGGAUGACGUCAAAUCAGCACGGCCCUUACGUCCGGGGCUACACACGUGUUACAAUGGGGGGUACAGAAGGCAGCUAGCGGGUGACCGUAUGCUAAUCCCAAAAGCCUCUCUCAGUUCGGAUCGAAGUCUGCAACCCGACUUCGUGAAGCUGGAUUCGCUAGUAAUCGCGCAUCAGCCACGGCGCGGUGAAUACGUUCCCGGGCCUUGUACACACCGCCCGUCAAGCCAUGGGAGCCGGGGGUACCUGAAGUGCGUAACAGGGAGGAUCGCCCUAGGGUAAAACUGGUGACUGGGGC